GAAAGAAAGAAAGAAAACAGGUAGGCUGGAUUUGGCCCACUGGCCGGAGUCAGCUGACCCCUGCUCUAGCCCCUUUUGUAUUGUUUGAUACUUACUCUUUACCUUAUGCAUGCAUUACCUGUUGGAAAAUAAUAUUGAAAAGGGUAGCUUGAAAAUUUUUGGUUUAUCAAAAGGGGGUAGGGUUAACGUUGGGGCAGGUGACUGGAGGCAUGUGCCCAGAUCCCUCUAAAAAGAAAUGAGCACAGAGAGGGAUAUGUGACAUUCCCAAGUCCAGCUGGAGCCCCAUGUUUGCCCUGCCUGCCACCUACCCUGCUCCGCCACCAGAUAGCAGCACAUGCCCACCUAAAACCAAGCCAUCCGUCACCAGCUGGGAGGCCAUGGGCAAAAGUUGACCCAUGCACCUAUUUUAUUUUGCCCACGGUAUGUUUUAAACGUGGAGUCUGCAUUUUUAAAAUCUGGCUUUCUGGCUCCUCAUUAACCAACUGGUGUGAGUAGCAGCUGCCCUUUCGGGCCCAAGGUCUCCAGGUCAUCCCAGUCCCCAGCGUCAGCUGCCGGUUUCUCACGCAUCUUGCUGUUUUCUCCUAGUGGACACAUUUCCCUCUUGCCACCUGCCUCACCUCCCUCUCUCAGUAAGAGUGUUAAAGCACAAGGGCUCUGGGUCAGGCCUGGGUUCAAGUCCUGGUUCUGCCACCUACCAGCUGUGUGACCUUGGGCAUGUCACAUGACUUAGGUGCCUCAGUUUUAUCGUCUGCAAAUGAUGCUAAGAGCACUCACUUUUCAGAGCCACACGAACUGCUGAUGGGACCUGGGCCAGAGCUCUCUGCAGUCUGGCAUGGGAUAAGUGUUCAGUAAAUAUUAAGUGGCAUUUUUCCAUCUGGCCCUCAUAGACACUUGUUCACAGGGCCCUGAUCUCACAAGUGGCCCCAGCACUCUCAGACCCAAUGCAGACCUUCUUCUGGUUUUAAAAAGAAUUUUUUUCCAGCCCCCUGGAUUCAGAAGUGAAAUGGUCUUAGUUUGAGGCCUGGCUCUGCCAUUACUAGCUGUGGAACCUUCAGGAAGUCACUUUGCCUCUCUGGACUCAGGCUGGGUUUUUUUGUUGGCUCCAGCAGAAUUGACAGACUGGUAGGGCCUGGAAGCCAACCUUAUCUGCUGAGGCUGCUCAUCUGGUCUCGCUGAAGAAGAGUUUGGCUGUCUGCUCCAUCCACCAGACUUCUUUUAUUUUAUAACACCUUAAUUUUCUCCUGGGACCCUCCGUCCGUCCUCUGGCUUGGAAAGGGUUGAUCCCACUUCUGCAGCUCCAAGGGGACUUCAGACCUGGCCAAUAGAACAUUUCUCUCACACACCCCUCACCGUUCGGCCAAGGUGAUUGGGUCAGGGAGAGGCCCCUGACCCAACCCAGGCCAACUAGAGUCUGGGACUUUCACUGCAACACCUGGAAAGGAACUUUUUUUGCCACUGAGCUUGCUGAGCUGGUUCAGUGAGUCUCAAGUCAGAGAACAGAGCUAAGAGAGAAACCAAGUUCUGAUGAAUCAUGUGAGUCCCUGGGUCCUGCCAAACCUCAGGUCAGAACCAUGUGUGGACUUCUCAGUUUUAUGAGCUUAUACAAUUAUUUUAGCGAUUCAUUUUUGGUUUAGUUUUCUGUCAUUUCUAUCAUUCUAAUGCCCUUCCUUUUGUGGUCCCCUCAGGCAGUCACAAAUCCAAAGUGGUAGGCAAACUUUAAGGAAAAUGAAGUUAUGGCUCACAUUUUUAAAAAUAAAUGCCAUGUUUGCAACUGCACCGAAGAAUCUUUUAUCAUUUCCUUGUUCCCAACAGGUUUUCUUUUCUCUGGCUAAACUAUCUAGCCUAGACUAGGUGUUCAUUGUAAUGUCUGCAGUGUUCGCCACAAAGCCCAGUGCCUGGCACGGAGGAGACGUCCUGCAAUUACUUGCUCAGAGGGCACCUCCAUCAGGGGCAGGUCCUUGUCAGACUGUUCACCACUGUACCCCAGUGUCCAGGACAGAGCCUGGCACACACCGGGUGUCAAUAAACAUCUGCUGAAGGAAUUCACAAAUAGGGAUCAGCCAUCAUUCCUUUACCAUCAUGAAGACAUGGAAGGCCACUCCGCACCAAAUGGGGGUCCCCUCCAAAAGGGCUUGGAGCAGAUGUCAGCAUUAUUUCACUGUCAGAUGACAAACCCCCAUCCUGAGGCCUGGGUUGGGGGGAGCUAGGAAUGGGGAGGGAGUGAGGCCUGGCUCCCUCUGGCUCCUAAACACCGCGCCCACCCCAGCCCAGCCAACCAGGAAACAUCAUGAGGCAGCUAAGGUUAAGUAAGACUCUUGCUGCUUUGUUAUAAAUAUAUUAUGUGCAUCCAAAACAUGACAUUAAAAUAUUACUCCGUGUUACAGAAAA